UUCUGCCAUUGCUACAAAUGGCCAUCAGUGCCCAGGAAAGUCAGAGGAGAAAGCUUGUUUCCAGGAGACACCAGCCUUAGACGACAUUGAAAGAGGAGAAGUUGACAGAUGAUGGCUUUUCCCACACUUGAAGAUGUUUGGAGUUCUGCUGCACAUUUGCUUCUCCUGUUAGUGAUGACACCUUGGACUCAGUAAGACUAGAAUUCAAAUUUGGCUUCCGUUCUGC